UACGUAGGGGGCGAGCGUUGUCCGGAAUCAUUGGGCGUAAAGCGCGUGUAGGCGGCUCGGUAAGUCUGCUGUGAAAGUCCAGGGCUCAACCCUGGAAUGCCGGUGGAUACUGUCGAGCUUGAGUCCGGAAGAGGCGAGUGGAAUUCCUGGUGUAGCGGUGAAAAUGCGCAGAUAUCAGGAGGAACACCAAUGGCGAAGGCAGCUCGCUGGGACGUGACUGACGCUGAGACGCGAAAGCGUGGGGAGCAAACAGG
rnacentral:rRNA from 1 species